GCAAAAGUGACCCACAUUAAUAUGCUUUAAGUUGCAUAUUACUGCUGGCUCUUGCUAGUUGCAGAAAUCUUUCUACAGUAAUGGAAGUUGCAAAAGAUACUGGAUUAAUAUUGUUACCUUCUAUCUUGAAGCAUGUAGCAAUGCAUAACAUUGAGCUACGAGAAAUUGAUUUCGGAAUUUUUUGGUUGUCAUACGUUACGCAAUAUUUUGUGGGCAGUGUGAGACACGAUACUUUGUUGGUUUAAAUGGACUUUUUAGUGCACUCAAUGCAGAGAGCUGUUGGAAGAAAUACCUACGCGCGUUUAUGUGUUGGAAAGAAAAAAAUAAUCGACAUUUCUGACUGGUUUCAGUUCUUGAAUGGAGAUUACAUUUGAUUGAAUUCGUAAGACUGAAUCCAUAUUUGCAGUGAGCCCUAGAAGCCUGAAGUUCCAAUGAUGUAAACAAGAUUGACAGUCCAAGUUCUUUGUUUCUAAGCACGUAGUUCAAUGUAUCAGUGAAUGUUCUAAUUGAACCAGUUUUGACAAUUUGUAAUCACAGUAUUGCUGUGAUAUUUGAGGCAAUACUUUCAUCAAAGUUCAUAACUGAGUUUUUUAGUCAUUUUUUUCCAAAUUCCGAAUUGGUUGUAUUUGCAAUAGCAACAGGGUCAAAAGAAGGUGCAACAGCAUCUACUGGUAUAUUUCAUUAGGAAUUUGAGGAUAUUUGCUAUGUUAUCAAAGAUGCUCACAACUUUCUGCCGAUGUGCUGAUUGCAUCAACAUCUGGUAUGGAGGUGGGACUACUGCAUAGUAUCAAAAUAAGCUGUAGAGAUUUGAAAACUUAGUCAUCUCUGUCAUGGGCACUUGCCUCUGUAGUAUCCAGCACAUCUUCCAGGAUGCCUCAAAAAGGUGGCAUCCAUCAUUAAGGACCCUCCUCCCAUCACCUAGGUUAUGUCGUCUUUUUGUUGAUGAUAUCAGGCAGGAGUUACAGAAGCCUGAAGGCACUCGGUCAACAAUUCAGGGACAGCUUCUUCCCAGCUGCCAUUGGAUUUCUGAAAGGGCAUUGAACCCAUAAGUGCUACCUCACUACUUUUUAUUUCUAUUUUUUGCACUACUUAUUUCAUUUAAUUGAUGUAUACUUAACUGUAAUUUUAUUGCUGCUGCAAAGAUAGAUUUCAUGACAUAUGCUGGUGCUAUUAAACUUGAUUCUGAAAAGCUUGUUGUUCUUUUUACUCAUUGUCAGUAAAUCUAUAAUCCAAGUGAUUAGAUAUUAAAAAUAUAUAGAAGAAAAUUCCAGCUGUGCAACAGAAAAGGCUGUGAGCACAGAAGCAUUUCAGUUACUGUGCAUCCAUGUACCUGUUUGGCUUCGAGGAAACAGUGGGGUGCUUUUUAUAUUAAAUAAAAAUUGAAAUCAAUCCUUAGAGGUGGCAUAGGAGCAGAAGACGUAGAAUCCUUGUGAGUAGAGUUAAGAAACUGCAAGGGUAGAAAGACCCUGAUGAGAAUAGUAUACUGGCCUCCAAAUAAUAGCCAGGAUAUGGGAUACAAAUCACAAUGGGAGAUAGAAGAGAAGUGUUAUAGUAGUCGUGGGGGAAUUCAAUAUGCAGGUAGAUUAGGGAAAAUGAGGUCAUAACACUGGUACUCGAUCCUCCAGCAGUGGCGGGAUCUCCCUGUGGCCCCACACUUCAAUUCCACAGACCACUCCCACUCCGACAUGAUGGUAGAGGAGGCCAUGGACACACAAGAUGAGGCAACACGCAGGUCAAUGGAGCAAUACCUUAUCUCCCGCCUAGGUAGCCUCCUUCCUGCUGGCAUGAACAUCCAACUCACUGACCUCUGUUGAUAUCCCUGCCCCCCACCCUUGCCCCCAUCCCUAUCUAUUAGUUUAGUCUGAUUCUUUCUUUCCCCCCCUCACUAUAAUCUCUCUCCCCAGCCCUACCUUUCUUUCUCUUUUAUUUCCCAUAAUUCUCCACCUUCCCCUUAGCCCAUUUCCCUCCAGCCUAUCACUUCCCAGCUCUCUACUUUAUCCCACCCCCCCCCCCCCCCAUCCCCUCCUCGGCCAUCCCAUGUUACUUCACUCCUGAUGAAGGAUUUCGGCCUGAAAUGUCGUUAUUACCUCCUCCCAUAGCUGCUGUCUGGCCUGCUGAGUUGUGCCAGCAUUUUGUGUUUUUUAUUUAUUUCCAGCAUCUGCAGAUUCAUUCGUGUUCCAAAAUGAGGUUGUUGCUGGUUUCUAAGAGGAAGUUGUAGAAUGCCUAUGAGAUGGCUUUUUAGAGCAGCUUGUGGUUGAGUCCACUAGAAAAAAGGCAAUUCUGUAUUGGGUUUUGUGUAGUAAAACAAAUUUGAUCAUCAUAAGGUAAGGGAGCCCUUUGGAAGCAGUGAUCAUCUGAUAGAGAUUACCUUGCACUUUGAGAGGGAGAAGAUAAGUCAGAUGUAUUAGUAAUACAGUGGAGUAAAGGGAAUUACAGAGGCAUGAGAGGGGAGCUGGCCAAAGUAGAUUGGAAGCAGACACAAUCAGGGCUGAUGGCAGAACAACAAUAGCUUGAGUUUCUUGGAGCAAUUCAGAAGAUGCAGGAUUCUAAAGGGAGGAUAAGCAACUGUGGCUGACAAAGGAAGUCAGAGACAGCACUGUAGGAGGGUGUAUAUUUAAAAACCCAAAAAAUUAAUGGGAAAUUGGGAUUGGGAAGAUUUAGAUUUUAAAAAAGUAGGCAGCUAAAAGAACCAAGAGAGAAGCUGAAAUAUGAAGGAAGCUAGACAAUGUAAAAGAUGCUGAAAGCUUUAUUCAAGUAUGAGGUGAGAGUGGCUAUCAGACCACUCAAAUGAUGCUGGAGUGGAAGUAUUGGGGGGACAAAGAAAUGGAGGAGGAACUUUUAAGUAUUUUGCAUCAGUCUUCACUGUGGAUGAUGUAGAAUGCCAGAAAUUCAAGUGUGCCGGGGUAGAAGUGAGUGUUGUUGCUGUUACUAAGGAGAAAAUACUUGGAAAGCUAAAAAGGCCGAAGAGAGAUGAAUCCCCUGGAUUAGAUGGACUACACCCCUGUGUUCUGAAAGAACUUAAAGUUGUUGAGACAUUAAUUAUUCUUGAAAGAUUAUUAGUAGAUUUUGGAAUGGUUCCAGUGGACUAGAAAAUGGCAAUUGUUAUUCCACUGCUUAAGAAGCAAGGCAAGCAGAAGAAAGGAAAUUAUAGGCCAGUUAGCCUGACUUCAGUGAUUGGGAAACUUUUGGAGUCUAUUAUUGAGGAUGAGUUUGCGGGUUACGUGGCCAAAGUUAGUAUAGUUUCCUUAAGGAGAAAUCUUGUCUGACAAAUCUGUUAGAAUUCUUUGAGGAAAUAAUAGGCACGAUAGACAAAGGGGAGACAUUGGAUGUUGUUUACUUGAAUUUUCAACAGGCCUUGGACAAGAUGCUGUAUAUGAGGCUGCUUACAAGAAGAGAACCUUGUAUUCCUGGUUUUACAGGGAAGAUACUAACAUGGAUAGAAGAUUGGCUGACUGGCAGGAGGCAAAGAGUCUGAAUGAAAAGGGCCUUUUCUUGGCAGCUGCUUGUGACUAGUGGUGUUGCAUAGGGUCGGUAUUUAGACCACCUGUCAUAUUAUCUCAAAAUUUGGAUGAGGAAAUUGAUGGUUUUGUUGCCAAGUUUGUGGAUGAUACAAAGAUAAGUGGAAGGGCAGGUAGUAUUGAGGAAAACAAGGAGUUAGCAGAAGGCUGCAGAUGGAAUACAGUGUAGGGAAAUGUAUGGUCGUGUACUUUGGUAGAUGGAAUAAAGCUGUAGACUAUUUUCUAAACGGGGGACGGGGAAAUUCAGAAAUCAGGUGCAAAGGGACUGGAGUCCUUGUAUAGGAAUCCCUAAAGUUAAUUUGCAGGUUGAGUCAGGAAAGUAAAUGCAAUGUUAGUAUUCAUUUUGGGAGGACUAGAAUAUAAGAGCAAGGAUGUAAUAUGGAGGCUUUACAAGGGUUUGGUCAGACCAUACCUAAGAGUAUUGUGAGCAAUUUUGUCCCUCUAAGAAUAGAUGUGCUUACAUUGGAGCUUGUCCAGAGGAAGUUAACGAGAAUGAUUCCAGAUAUGAAAGUGCUAAUUUAUGAGAAGCAUUUGACUUUGGGCCUGUACUUGUUGGAGUUUAGAAGAAUGAGAGGGUGCUAAUUGAAACCUAUCAAAUAUUGAAAAGAUGUAGGGAAGGGGUUUCCUAGAAUGGUGAGUCUAGGUCCAGAGGACACAUCCUCAGACUAGAUGAUUGGCUGACUGGCAGGAGGCAAAGAGUCUGAAUAAAAAGGACCUUUUCUUGGCGGCUGCUUGUGACUAGUGGUGUUGCAUAGGAUUGGUUUUUAGACCACUUCUCACAUUAUCCAUUUAGAAAACAGAUGAGAAGGAAUCUCUUUAGCCCCCAUAGAGUAGUGAAUCUGGAUCUCAUUGCUGCAGGUGGCUUUGGAGGCCAAGUCAUUGAGUAUAUUUAAAGCAGAGAUUAAUAGGUUCUUGAUUAGUCAGGGCAUCAAAGGUUAUGGGGAGAGGACAGGAGAAUGGGGUUGUGAGGGAUAAAUCAGCCAUGAUGGAAUGGUGGAGCAAACUUGAUGGGCCAAAUGGCCUAAUUCUACUUCAGUGUCUUAUGAUCUUGUCUAAUGACAGAGACCUUUAUGCAGGAAUAAGCAUCUGAAGUUGUUAACCAACAAAAGUCAUGUGAACAUAGCUGUCAGAAUUAAAUGUAAAAGGAAAUAUUUGUCGCACUGAUGGGAAGAAUAUGGGUCAAGUGGCCUCUUGUGCUGCAAGAAUAACUUAUUAGUGUUUUCAUUCACUAGGCUAAUUGACUGAAAGUAUUAGUUAAUUUUUUUUGUUAACCUUGAUUUUGCUUGUUUUAAACCAUUAACUUGCCUCUUAAUUUGAACUAUAUGGUUGUGCUUUAAUAAAUUUAUUGGUCUAUCCUGAA